CCGCUAUUGGAGUUCGAUUAAGCCAUGCGAGUCGAGAGUCUUAGGGACUCGGCGUACCGCUCAGUAACACGUGGGUAACCUGCCCUAUGCUGGGGAAUAACCUCGGGAAGCUGAGAAUAAUGCCCCAUAGUCCACAAUGCCUGGAACGGUCUGUGGAUCAAAGCUCCGGCGGCAUAGGAUGGGCCUGCGGCGUAUCAGGUUGUAGGGGGUGUAACGUACCCUCUAGCCAUCAACGCGUACGGGUGUUGGGAGACAUAGCCCGGAGAUGGAUUCUGAGACACGAAUCCAGACCCUACGGGGUGCAGCAGGCGCGAAAACUUGGCAAUGCGAGAAAUCGUGACCAGGGAACUCCAAGUGGCUGGGGUAAGACCCAGUCUUUUCUUGACUCUUCAGAGGUCUUGGAAUAAGGGGUGGGUAAGGACGGUGCCAGCCGCCGCGGUAAUACCCGGCGCCUCAAGUGGUAGUCGAUUUUAUUGGGCCUAAAACGUCCGUAGCCUGUUUGGUACAUUCGUGGGUAAAUCAACCAGCUCAACUGGUUGAAUUCUGCGAGCACGGCCAGACUUGGGACCGGGAGAGGUGUGGGGUACGCUCAGGGUAGGGGUAAAAUCCUGUCAUCCUGAGCGGACCACCUGUUGCGAAGGCGCCACACUAGAACGGAUCCGACGGUCAGGGACGAAGCCUAGGGGCACGAACCGGAUUAGAUACCCGGGUAGUCCUAGGUGUAAACGCUGUGGACUUGGUGUUGGGGACUCUCCGAGAAUCCUCAGUGCCGAAGCGAAGGUGAUAAGUCCACUGCCUGGGGAGUACGGUCGCAAGGCUGAAACUUAAAGGAAUUGGCGGGGGAGCACCGCAACCUGAGGAUUGUGCGG
rnacentral:rRNA from 1 species